CCAGUUCGGAGCCUUCUCUCCUCCUCCCUGAAGGCUCUGACCGCGGCUCGCUCUCUCCUCCUCCCUGAGCGGGUCGCACCUUGAAGAAGCGGCGGCGUCCAUCCUCCUCCCGGGCGUCGUCGCCUCU
rnacentral:sRNA from 1 species